rnacentral:misc_RNA from 1 species
GUGAAGGAGCGGGGGGGGUAACGCAAAUUGCACUCUCCUUUUUUCCGGUAUAUUAUUCCUGUUUGAGUGUCAGCCUAAAAAAAAUCGACAUUGUUUCUUUUUUAUUUUUACUUUCGUCGGAGAUGGGUUAUCUUAAAUCUCGGUUUAAGCGACUUAAAAAUUUUUUUUACGAUUCUAAGAAUGUUUCUAAGAUUUUUCUUGUACGUUUAAUUUAUCGAAUUUCUUAUUAGACUUGGCCGUCCUAUCGGAUCGUGUCCAUAAUUUUUUUCUUUAACUGACCUCAGACAGGUAAGAGUACCCG